GACGAACGCUGGUGGCGUGCUUAACACAUGUAAGUCGAACGGAAAGGCCCUGCUUUUGUGGGGUUCUCGAGUGGCGAACGGGUGAGUAACACGUGAGUAACCUGCCCUUGAGUUUGGGAUAACUUCAGGAAACUGGGGCUAAUACCGGAUAGGAGCUCCUGCUGCAUGGUGGGGGUUGGAAAUUUUCGGCGGUUGGGGAUGGACUCGCGGCUUAUCAGCUUGUUGGUGGGGUAGUGGCUUACCAAGGCUUUGACGGGUAGCCGGCCUGAGAGGGUGACCGGCCACAUUGGGACUGCGAUACGGCCCAGACUCGUACGGGAGGCAGCAGUGGGGAACAUUGCACAAUGGGCCGAAGCCUGAUGCAGAAAUGCCGCGUGCGGGAUGAAGGCCUUCGGGUGGUAAACCGCUUUCGCCUGUGACGAAGCGUGAGUGACGGUAAUGGGUAAAGAAGCACCGGCUAACUACGUG
rnacentral:rRNA from 1 species